ensembl:lncRNA
GUCCUUUGGUCAGGAUCCAACCAAAUACACUUCAGAAUCUGUCAAGUCAAAUACCUAAUCUUCAACAAAUAUGUUUCUAAAGCCGCCCUGGGAUUUUUACCGAGAAAAUAAAGAUGUCUUGAUUCAGCAAUUCUAGAAAACAAGAGUAACUACCGCCCUACGUUUCACUCUGAAUUCAAAGCAAGUCUUCCAGUGCAGCACAUGGGUGGAUGGGAAUAACGUCCUCUUCCUGGGGCAGGGAGCUGGGGCUCUGCCCGUGAUGGUCGGUGUGCCCGCUGUGCCCUGCCGCCUGGAGCCAAGAACGAGCAGGAGCCAAAGCCACUCCCCAGAGGGCUUCCCACUGUCUCACCCGGCUUCCUUGUGGCUACAUUUCUUGGAGAUGGUUAGAAAUUUGGAGCCUUUCUUCUUCUCUUUUGUUUAAAUCUUCAGUCCUAAGUUAACAGAACAUCUACUUGCAUGUGUGAGGGUGUGUCAGGGAACUGUCGUCUCCUCGGUCCAGCAGACGCUUCCCUGUGGAUCCGGCUCCUCCACCUGGUGAUGCACCCAUGAGGCCUCUGGGCAGACAGUCUGGGUUCCAAGCCCUGCUGAUCCCUGGGCACUCUGUCUUCAUUUUUGUUUCUUUCUCUUUAUUUGAUUAUUCCAAUCCAAUUUGCGCUGCCUUUCCUCUUCUUAGUGUUUUGAAUAGGUGAUUGGAGAGGGACAAAGCAGCGACCUGGAUGGGUGUUGUCCUGUUAGGGUAACACCUGUGCUCCUGAUGUUCCCAGACGGGCCUGGCUGGGUGAGGAGACUCGGCCCCCGACUCACAGGGCGUGUCUGUGUCUUGCAGAAGGAGGAAGUGCCAGCAUCCACUGUGUGUUUCCAUAGGGACUCAGUCAGAUGCUGGAGCACCUUCAGACUCCUUCUGUCCCUCCUUGGAGUUGGGAUCCAAUUGCUUACAGUCCAUCUCGGAGCUGGUGUAGAAGCUGGUGAGCCAUCAGACCCUCAAGGGAAACAGAAGGCAGAGGGACUCCACCAUGGCCUGCGAUUCAUUCUGCAGCUGCACAUAUGGGACUGAGAAAGCAACCAGCCUGUCCCCCGGCGAGCACGGAGUCAGAAGCUCUGCCUGAGCAUGGACUCAGGGCUCGGGACUCAGGACCCCAGCCAGGGUCUCUCUGUGGUCAGUGGUCCCAGGAGCCGGCCACAGGGCUCUGUCCUGCUUGCAGGAUGCUUAGCUGCCAGCUUCGUCCACACAAAAUCUCAGUUACAGAUGUGUCCCUGCGUGUGCAGCUUUCAAACGGCUCAUGUGCAGCCUCUAUGAUUACUUUUCUACCACGUAACAUUACACCAUAAAAAAUGGGUUGUUUCAUCUUCUACCCAACAUAAACCAAGAGUCGUUCCUCCCAGGCUGAUGGCUGCCUGGUCCAGUGGUGACUGAGCAGAGCAGUCACUCGACCUUCACAGGUGUCUCUCUAGGUCAUGGCACCUGUGACACGUCCACACCCGGGAAGACGUUUUUGUUUCUUACCAUAGACAUGUGGAAAAAUCAGAGUGUGUGGUGCUUGUGGAGACUCAGCCCCGACAGCCCCCCUCCCUCCCUCCCUCCCUCCAUCUCCCUUCUCGGGCUCCAGUGGGCUGAACCCAUGAGGCUGAUGACACUUGGAGUCUUGUCCCUGCAGGGUGUGUUUUUAGGAGGGUGCAAACCAACCCAGGCUGCCCACAGACACGGAGCGUGGGUCCAGGAAACCCAGACUCCUCCUCCCCAUCCUCCUCCUCCUCCUCCACAUCCUCCUCCUCCUCCACAUCCUCCUCCUCAUCCACAUCCUUCCUCAUCCACAUCCUUCUCCUCAUCCUCCACAUCCUCUUCAUUCUCCACAUCCUCCUCCUCCUCCGCAUCCUCCUCAUCCUCCACAUUCUCCUUCUCCACGUCCUCCUCCUCCUCCUCCACAUUCUCCUCCUCUUCCACAUCCUCCUCAUCCUCCUCCAUAUCUUCCUUCUCCCCCUCCUCUGUGCCCCUUCAGCUCUGUGUCCCUAUUCAGAGCCCAAGCGCAUGUCUGUGCCAGGGAACAAGCCUGGGGUGGGUCUGGGGCUAAGGUGCCUGCUCCUAAGAAAUGGGGCAGUGAUAAUGGGAACCUUCAUUAUAGACAAAUGGCAGCUGGAGAAUCGAUCAGGUGUUUUCAGAUGCUAAAAAUUCUGUGUAAGAAAGAGAGAGAUUGCGAGAGAGAGCAAGAGAAGAGAAGAGAGAACCGGAAAACACCCCUAGAUUCUCACCGUUCACUUAGGGCAACCUGCCAGGUCCUGGUUCUCUGCCUUAUUCCAUUUUGCCACUCAGGCCAGUCUCUCUUGUUGACAGAAGGUCCAUAAGGAGCAUUGAGCAAUCUUCCUCAAGCAAAAGGAGGAGGAUUGGCAACAGAUGUUAGCUCUGGGCCAAUCUUCCUCACACAAGAAAAGGGGGGGAGCGGAGGAUCUGAAGAGAUAUUUUUCCAAAGAAGAUGUACAGAUGGCCGACGGGCACAGGAAAAUAUGUUCAACAUCACUAAUGACUAGGGAAAUGGAAAUCAAAACUCCAGUGAAAUAUCACCUUACUCCUAUCAGAAUGGCUAUAAUUAACAAGACAAGAAAUAACAAGUGUUGGAGAGAAUGUGGAGAUAAGGGAAUUCUCGUCCACUGCUAGCGGGAAUGCAAACCGGUGCAGCCACUAUGGAAAACAGGAUGGAGAUUCCUCAAAAAGUUAAAAAUAGAACUACCAUAUGACCCAGCUAUCCCACUACUGGGUAUUUAUCCAAAGAAUCCUCGUUUCAAAGGCACAGACGCCAACAAUAAUUUAAAAAGUCAGAGAUCUACAAACAUGCUGACAUGGCUAAGAAAGCACUGGUGUUCAGAGACACAAGGUCACAGAAUCCCACUGAGGUCGCUACCCAAAGACUCGCUAAACGUAGCCACAGAAGGAAGGACAGACCCUGCAGACCGCAAGUGGCAAUUUCUGCAUUUCUGCACAUGCCAGGAACGGAGGUCGUUCAGUGGUGCCAUUCAGAAACUUGGGAUCAAAGGAUUGGAGACAACGGCCCCUGUGUGUGUGUGAAAUGACUCGGAGACAGUGCGGCCUCCAUGCUGUGGCACACAGCUCGUUACACGCGAUGCUGUCCACACGUUCAGUGAAACAAAGGACUUUCUCUUCAAUUUUUCCAAUAUGCUCUAAAAUGAUUUCACUUUUGGAGACCUGUUAAGUUAUGCGUGUGUCAUGCAUCUGAAAAUGCACAAAAACCUUGGCAAAGUAAUUCUGCAGGUUCCAUUUCUCUGCUGGAUUUGAGACAUUUGUGGCUGGGGGAGGAGUCGCUCUGAUGUGGCUCCGGGAGUCGUGUCACCCCAAUGGGACGUAUGGAGAAGCUUUCCUCCCAGUACUGCUUCCAGUUCCUGCUGCUGUCACUGAACAUCAGGAGGUAGCUGGUCACCAGGUCGGACCUCCCAUACCCGCCCUGAGUGGCCACCAUGGUCCGCCCUCUCUCCAAGGUCGAUCUGUAGCCACUGGUUCUUGUCAGACACGAGCGGCGUCCAGUCCCCAGCUCUUGUUGGGGGAGAGGAAACAGGAAGGACACAGGAAGAGGACGAAAUGUUAGAAUGCAUCUGGGAGGAGGUCAUGUGACUUCCUCACACUGGAGGCCAGGUGUCCACUGAGGGUCCAUGCCAGAGUCCAGCUCCAACAGAGUCCAGGUUCCUGAGGGAUGAACGGCAUCGGCAAAGAGAUUGAGACUGCACACCAAGUUGGUGGAAGCGAGUCUGAAGUCUCUAUUGUCAAGCGUGCAUUUAUGUACAUUUUGAGGAUUACGUAGCGUCUGGAAUACAUCUAUUUUCUCCCCUGAAGUAGCUUGAUUUUUCCCCAUGAUAUCAUUUUACUUCCUUAAUUUAUCUCGGUCAUCAGCAGUUUCUAAAGGUUAUUUCCCUUAUUCAGUCCUGGGAAAGAGCUGUUCUUUUCAUUUUCUGGGUAAGUGCAGUUAAUAUUUAUAGAUCUCUACAGUAGUCUUUGCAGGGGCGAGACUCGGGUUAUGCUGGACGGAACAAGCCUUGGGGCAAAGGUGAGCUAAGGUAGGUUUAGACCAGGCACAUGCAGGUCCCCACAUCCUCUUAUAUAACUCCCACACCGAGACAUCUGACCCUUUAACCCUCUUUCCAUCCGUUUCUUUCCAGCGCCCCCACGUGUCAUCAUAGUCCCAUCUGUAUUUCUUAUUUACUUUGAACAGCCAUUGUCCUAUGUUUAGAGUGGAUGUAGGUGGCGUAGGUGUGGGAGGUACCCUCUGCAUAGCCCUGUUCCCUUGCUGGGGGGUGGGUACCACCAGCGUCCUUCUGCCUUAAUGGCCCGAGGUAUUUCUCUGCCUGCGAUGACUAUAGGGGAAGGCAAGGGGAUAGGCCCAUAUUUGUUUGGGAAGGGUCUUCCCCUAUAUCCCAGCUGAAUGUCCCUCUUUCUGCGGCAGGGCCCUGGGGAUGUUGAAGCAGUGUUAGUCAGAAGAGGGUCUUUCUUGUUUAUUACAGUGAGAUUCACCUUUCCCAGCAGAUUCCCCUGGGUGAGCACAAGCGUCAUGAAGAGAGCCAAUACAGCAACUAGUAACAGCAGAUUGGGCAAGGGGGACCCUCGGCCAUUCCUGCAGGGGUGGCUUUGCAACUCCUCUGCGUCGUGUGCCCCAACUGUCUCACUGGGCUGCAGCGGUUGCAGGACGGUGUCCGGCAGGUCCAAGUGCUCCAUGUGAUGGAUGGACGCCCAGUGGAGGCCAUAUUCUCUCAGAACCAGUGUCUCCCUGGCCUUUGUUCUGGGGUGCUCACUAUCGAACCUUAGCACUUUACAGGACUCGUUGGGAUGCAGCUAGCUUACGGUGGAGCCAAACGUCUAUCUGAGACGCAAGGAUCCAAGGACCCAACCCUGCUGCAAGGAGUUCCCAGACUCUGGAGAAACUAAAAUCAGGGCAUCUGAAGCAGGAUUAGGAACUCACUCAGGGGUGGUGCUGCUGGUGAGAUCCAUGGGGGGUGGGGGGAGGCGUGACGGCAGAAGGAACCGUGGCAAAUGCCCUGCAGGGCAGUGAGGGGGACCUCAAGGAGCAAACUGCACUUCAGCAUCCUGCACAGAGAACCGAUAGAUGGCAAAGUGGCUGAGGGCAAGAGGAGGAACAGCAGCAGGAGAGCACAGAGCCCGGUGCUCCCUGUCACCCCAGCCCUGAGCAGAGAACCUGGGGGGACAGAGCAGGACCCUGUGGGGAUGACACAGAGUCCAGGGGAGGCGUGGGGAGCUGACCUGUGAAGUGGAGCCCACCUCAGGCCCACACUAUUAGGGCCAGAGCCAGGCUCCAAGGAGUGGUAAAACCAUGAAAAGACACAGAGGAAACUUAAAUGCACAUCACUAAGUGAGAGAAGCCAAUCUGAAAAGGCUCCGUGCUGUAUGAAUCCAACUAAAUGACAUUCUGGGAAAGAGAAAACCCUAGAGACUGUAAAGAUCGGUGUUUUCCGGGGGUGAGGAGGGCAGGAUGAACAGGUGGAGCACAGAGGACUUUUGCGAGAGUGAAACUGCUGUGUAUCAUACUGUAAUGGUGGACACGUGAGAUUAUGCAUUUGGCAAAAUCCAUAGAAUGUACAACACCAAGAGCGAACCCUAAUGUCAACUGUGGACUCUAGUUAAUAAUAAUAUAUCCUAUUGGCUCAUCAGUUGUAACAGAUGCACCACAUUAAUGCAAGAUGUUAAUAAUAGGGGAAACUCUGCGUGUGUGUGUAUGUGGUGGGGGCACGAGGGGGUAUGUGGGAACUCUCUCUACUGUCUGCUCAAUUUUACUGCAAACCUAAACUGUUCUAAAAAAAAUAGUCUAUUAAUUAAAAAAAGAAUGCAUUGCAUAGUGACCAAUAAGUCAACAUAUUAUAGGCAUUGAGAGCCAGCUGUCUCACUCUAUUUUUAAAAAAUUUUUAUUGAGUUAAUGGUAGGUUACAACCUUGUGAAAUUUCAGUUGUACAUUAUUGUUUGUCAGUCAUGUUGUAGGUGCACCACUUUACCCUUUGUGCCCACCCCCCACCCCACCUUUCCCCUGGUA